GAUCGGUGUCAACGGAAACAUCAGGGAGCACGCUUUCUACAGCACAGUGAAGUGGGAAGAGCUGGAGAACCGGAGAGUGAAGACCCCUUUCCAGCCAGGAAUGCCAUCAGCAGAUGACUUCACUGAAAUCCCGCUGUCAUUCUCCUCUCAAAUUCGGAACGAGGAAACCAACUUGGCAGAUUUCUCCCACGUGGAUCCCAGCUGGAGUUGGCAGGAGUAAGGCAUUGGUUCUAAUAUGGGAAAACAUCAAUACUGCCUGGACAAUACAACAACCUGGGCCAAUUGACAUCAUACCCUCUAUGGCAAGCUGCACCUCUCAACAACUCAUCCACCUGCGUCUGCCAUCAAUGUCGCCACCACACGGGAUCCCUGGCUUUGACUUGGAGAAGAGAAAAAGAAAGAACGGAAGAGUUAACCAUCGGAAGGUAGGGCGGGUUGUUAUCACUCAGCAGCCGCUGAGCUCCCUAAUGGUAAGUAGUGGUAAGUAUACCCCCUGGAGACCUAAAUAUAUAGGGGUUUCUUGUUACCACCUUACCAUUGUAUAUAUAUGUGUGUGUAUGUGUGAGAGUGAGUGUGUGUAUGUGUUAGAGUGAGUGUGUGUGUCUGUGUGUG